rnacentral:rRNA from 1 species
UACGUAGGGAGCAAGCGUUGUCCGGAUUUACUGGGUGUAAAGGGUGCGUAGGCGGCUCUGCAAGUCAGGUGUGAAAACUAUGGGCUUAACCCAUAGACUGCAUUUGAAACUGUGGGGCUUGAGUGAAGUAGAGGCAGGCGGAAUUCCCGGUGUAGCGGUGAAAUGCGUAGAGAUCGGGAGGAACACCAGUGGCGAAGGCGGCCUGCUGGGCUUUAACUGACGCUGAGGCACGAAAGCAUGGGUAGCAAACAGG